CAGGCUUGCUGGAGCUCCGCAGCGGCGCCUGGGUCCGUAAAAAAGGGGGCCCGACACCGUGAAUAAUUCCGGAGCUUAA
rfam:Rhizobium sp. CF080 ctg12, whole genome shotgun sequence.